GAUGUCAGUACCAUGGCUAGAGGUGACCAC
rnacentral:piRNA from 1 species